GGAUAUGGCAUAAAAACUGGCCUCAAGCGGCGUUUUUCAUAUUUCUCGCGGGACUUUUAAUCCCAAGGUCGUUGGUUCGAUUCCAACCCGGCCCA
rnacentral:tRNA from 1 species